rnacentral:lncRNA from 1 species
UCACCAUGAAUAUAUGCACCAAGGGAAUGAACACACAAAUUAAAAGGCUGGAGUAUAGUGGUGCGAUCAUAGCUAGCUGCAGCCUUGAACUCCUCCUCAAGCAAUCCUUCCUCCUUGGCCUCGCAAAGUCCUGGGAUUACAGGCGUGAGCUACUGGGCCUGACCUACAAAAUGUUUUAUGCUUUCGGCCUAAAUAGUGUUCCUUGGAGAGAAAAUUACCCUGGGAAUGAAUAAACAAGAGCAAUGCAAAUGAGUGCUGAUAGUUGUUUUAAUAGGAACAACUUUGGUUCAACUUUAACUGCAAAUUGCCUGUUUUCAGAAGCAGCUCAAAUAUCAGAUCAAGUUAAUUUAGUUGGACUCCUGUCCCAUGCUUGAAAGUUUCUUCAUUGGAAAAGAUAUCCACGACUGUUACAGAUGCUUCGUGGAGGUUCAAAAAGACUACAGAUCAAGGCCAGUGACCUUCUACACAUGGUGGACACUCCAGCCUCUGCUCAAUCUCCAUCCACACUUAAAGGAAAUAGCCAACUCUUGGCCAACCUUCAGGCCUGGGAAGAGGCUCAAGCAGACACUGAAGACGGACUUAAGGCUGAAUAUGGCUGGAAUACUGCCCAAAUGAACUGACCAUUUUCCCAGUACUUUCCAUGACCAAGGACCAGGGUAUAUACACCAGACAACAGAGCCGUUUCAUUUUGGGGGCUCGUUUGGGAUCAGAAUCAGAAUGGAAGGUAGAAACAUCAGAGUGGCUAUACGAUGUCCGGAAGUGGUGGGUUCUUGGUCUCACUGACUUCAAAAAUGAAGACGAAGACGUGGACUCUGGCGGUGAGUGUUACAGUUCUUAAAGGCGGUGUGUCCGGAGUUCAUUCCUUAUAAUGUUGGGAGUUUCUUCCUUAUGGUGGGUUUGUGGUCUCGCUGGCUCCGGAGUGAAGCUGCAGACCUUCGCGGUGAGUGUUACAGCUCUUAAGGCGGCACGUCUGGAGUUGCUGGAUCCUCCCGGUGCGUUUGUGGUCUCGCUGACUUCAGGACUGAAGCUGCAAACCUUUGCCGUGAGUGUUACAGCUUAUAAAAGCAAUGUGGACCCACAGAGAGAACAGCAGCAAGAUUUAUUGGAAAGAGAUAAAGAAUAAGGCUUCCACACUGUGGGAGGGGACCGGAGGGGGUUGCCACUGCUGGCUCCGGCAGCCUGCUUUUAUUCUCUUAUCUGGCCCCACCCACAUCCUGCUGAUUGGUAGAGCCCAGUGGUCUGUUUUGACAGGGUGCUGAUUGGUGCAUUUACAAUCCCUGAGCUAGACACAAAGGUUCUCCAAGUCCCCACCAGAUUAGCUAGAUACAGAGUGUCCAUUGGUGCAUUCACAAACCCUGACCUAGACACAGGGUGCUGAAUGGUGUGUUUACAAACCUUAAGCUAGAUACAGAGUGCCGAUUGGUGUUUUUACAAUCCCUUAGCUAGACAUAAAGGUUCUCCACGUCCCCACCAGACUCAGGAGCCCAGCUGGCUUCACCCAGUGGAUCCCGCCCAGGGGCUGCAGGUGGAGCUGCCUGCCAGUCCCGCGCCGUGUGCCUGCACUCCUUAGCCCUUGGGUGGUGGAUGGGACUGGGCGCCGUGGAGCAAGAGGCGGCGCUCAUCCCGGAGGCUCCGGCGGCACAGGAGCCCACGGAGAGGAGGAGGCUCAGGCAUGGCGGGCUGCAGGUCCCAAGCCCUGCCCCGCGGGAAGGCAGCUAAGGGCUGGCGAGAAAUUGAGCACAGCAGCUGCUGGCCCAGGUGCUAAGCCCCUCAGUGCCUGGGGCCGGUGGGGCCGGCUGGCCGCUCAGAGUGCGGGGUCCGCCCAGCCCACGCCCACCUGGAACUUGCGCUGGCCCGCAAGCACCGCGUGCAGACCCAGUUCCCUCCCGCGCCUCUCCCUCCACACCUCCCAGCAAGCUGAGGGAGCCGGCUCCGGCCUUGGCCAGC